GUGGUUGUAGCUCAGUUGGUUAGAGCGUCGGAUUGUGGUUCCGAAGGUCGCGGGUUCGAGACCCGUCUCCCACCCA
rnacentral:tRNA from 1 species